GCACUUUAAGCAGUGAAGAAGACUCCUCGGUUAAUACCCGUGGACGAUGACAUUAGCUGCAGAAUAAGCACCGGCUAACUCUGUGCCAGCAGCCGCGGUAAUACAGAGGGUGCAAGCGUUAAUCGGAAUUACUGGGCGUAAAGGGAGCGUAGGUGGCUCGAUAAGUCAGAUGUGGAAUCCCCGGGCUCAACCUGGGAACUGCAUCUGAUACUGUUGAGCUAGAGUAUGUGAGAGGAAGGUAGAAUUCCAGGUGUAGCGGUGAAAUGCGUAGAGAUCUGGAGGAAUACCGAUGGCGAAGGCAGCCUUCUGGCAUAAUACUGACACUGAGGCUCGAAAGCGUGGGUAGCAAACAGGAUUAGAUACCCUGGUAGUCCACGCCGUAAACGAUGUCUACUAGUCGUUGG
rnacentral:rRNA from 1 species